rnacentral:rRNA from 1 species
GGGGGGUGUGGUCGCUCUGGAUAGCCCGUAGCUUUUGGUGGAUGGACUCGUCUCUAGACCAUAUUUCUGACCUCAGAUUAGGUGAGACUACCCGCUGAACUUAAGCAUAUCAGUAAGCGGAGGAAAAGAAACUAACUAGGAUUCCCUUAGUAGCGGCGAGCGAACCGGGAGAAGCCCAGCACCGAAUCCCGCGGCCAGUCACUCGGACGCAGGGAAAUGUGGUGUUUGAGGGGACCGUGAGCGUUAGUCCAUGGUGAGGCCUAAGUUCUCCUUGAACGAGACGAGCACACCCAUAGAGGGUGACAGGCCCGUCCUGGCUGACCGCGACCGCGCGCAGGGUCUACUUCCUCAAGAGUCGGGUUGCUUGAGAGUGCAGCCCUAAGCGGGAGGUAAACUCCUUCUAAGGCUAAAUAUGACUACGAGACCGAUAGCGAACAAGUACCGCGAGGGAAAGUUGAAAAGAACCUAGAAGUGGGAGUUCAAUAGUGCGUGAAACCGUCCAGGGGGUUAAACGGGUGGGCCCUCGAAGGUCGAACGGAGCCGGGUUCUGAGGGAGUCGUGGGGGGUAGUCUUGGUGCGGGUACUGUCGUGAGGCAUGACCGACCGAGGCUAUUCGCUCUGCUUCUCUCUCAUAGUUCCUCGGUCCUAGUAGGACUCUGCGACCGGCUGGGUGGCGGACAUACGCGGUGGGUGUCGGAGGGAGUGAGGGCUUCGGCUCGAUCUUCAGUCGCCCCGCUUGCCGUCCGUCCGCUCGGCCGUGACCUGUUCCUCGCCGACCAUAGCGAGCGUCAGAGCAGAGAGUAGUUUGUCGGGUCCCACCCGACCCGUCUUGAAACACGGACCAAGGAGUCUAACAUGUGGGCGAGUCGUCGAGACAACACGAAACUCGCGAGGCGCAAUGAAAGUAAAGUUCGGCCGGGAUGACCGUGCCGCGACCGGAGAUCCCGUCUCGAACAGAGCGGGCGCAUCCGGGUGGCGUUCCAUUAGCAUCGCAUUAGCAUGCGGAACGGACACAGAGCCCACACGUUGGGACCCGAAAGAUGGUGACCUAUGCCUGAC